GAUGAACGCUGGCGGCGCGCCUAACACAUGCAAGUCGAACGGCACCCACCUCCGGGUGGAAGCGAGUGGCGAACGGCUGAGUAACACGUGGAGAACCUGCCCCCUCCUCCGGGAUAGCCGCGGGAAACCGCGGGUAAUACCGGAUGACGCCCGGGAAGCGCAUGCUGCCCGGGCCAAAGCCCAGACGGGAAGGGAUGGCUCCGCGGCCCAUCAGGUAGACGGCGGGGUGACGGCCCACCGUGCCGACAACGGGUAGCCGGGUUGAGAGACCGACCGGCCAGAUUGGGACUGAGACACGGCCCAGACUCCUACGGGAGGCAGCAGUGGGGAAUCUUGCGCAAUGGGGGAAACCCUGACGCAGCGACGCCGCGUGCGGGACGAAGGCCUUCGGGUCGUAAACCGCUUUCAGCAGGGACGAGACAAGACGGUACCUGCAGAAGAGCCCGYYAWMUYC
rnacentral:rRNA from 1 species